rnacentral:rRNA from 1 species
UACGAAGGGGGCUAGCGUUGUUCGGAAUUACUGGGCGUAAAGGGCGCGUAGGCGGUGUGUCAAGUCAGGCGUGAAAGCCCCGGGCCCAACCUGGGAACAGCGCUUGAGACUGGCACGCUCGAGUUCGGGAGAGGAUGGUGGAAUUCCCAGUGUAGCGGUGAAAUGCGUAGAGAUCGGGAGGAAGGCCGGUGGCGAAGGCGGCGCUCUGGAACAUUUCUGACGCUGAGGCUCGAAAGCGUGGGGAGCAAACAGG